CGGGGGAGGCGGGAUCCUGGGCUGUGUCCCGGCGCCCUGUGCUCCCGGGCCUGCGCUGUUGGAUUCGCGCUCCCGCCCCGCAGCCCCCU
rnacentral:pre_miRNA from 1 species